UAAAGAUUUUAAGGGCGUACGGUGGAUGCCUUGGCGAUAUCAGCCGAAGAAGGACGCGGUAAGCUGCGAUAAGCUACGGAGAGGUGCAAGCAACCUUUGACCCGUAGAUUUCCGAAUGGGGGAACCCGGCAGUGGUUAUGCACUGUCACCCAUAGCUUAGACUAUGAGGAGGGCACCCGGGGAACUGAAACAUCUAAUUACCCGGAGGAAAAGUAAUCAAACGAGAUUUUCUUAGUAGCGGCGAGCGAACGGGAAAGAGGCCAAACCGGAGCGGGCAACCGCACCGGGGUUGAGGACAGUCAUCAAGUGUAAAUGAGGUAGAAGAAUCGAGUUGGAAAGCUCAGCCGAAGAAGGUGAAAGCCCUGUAAUCGAAACCUUGCAUACACGGGACUGUAUCCAGAGUACCACGAGACACGUGAAACCUUGUGGGAAGCAGGGGGGACCACCCUCCAAGCCAAAAUACUGAUAUCGACCGAUAGCGCAUAGUACCGUGAGGGAAAGGUGAAAAGAACCCCUGGCGGGGAGUGAAAGAGAACCUGAAACCGUAUGUCUACAAACAGUCGAAGUCUGUAUAUAUAUCAGGACGACGGCGUGCCUAUUGAAGAAUGAACCGACGAGUUACUGUUGCUAGCGAGGUUAAGUGGAAGACACGGAGCCGCAGCGAAAGCGAGUCUGAACAGGGCGUUCAGUUAGUAAUAGUAGACCCGAAACCGUAGUGAUCUAUCCAUGGCCAGGUUGAAGCACAGGUAAAAUUGUGUGGAGGACCGAACUCGUGAGCGUUGAAAAGCUUUGGGAUGAGUUGUGGAUAGGGGUGAAAUGCCAAUCGAACACGGAGAUAGCUGGUUCUCCCCGAAAUAGCUUUAGGGCUAGCCUCGAGGUUGAGAGUAUAGGCGGUAGAGCACUGAUCGGGCUAGGGGCCAUACCGGUUACCGAACCUAGUCAAACUACGAAUGGCUAUACUUAUACUCGGGAGUCAGACAGUGAAUGAUAAGGUCCAUUGUCAAGAGGGAAACAGCCCAGAACACCGACUAAGGUCCCAAAUGUUACACUAAGUGGCGAAGGAUGUGGAAUUUCCAAAACAACCAGGAUGUUGGCUUAGAAGCAGCCACCAUUUAAAGAGUGCGUAAUAGCUCACUGGUCGAGAGACUCUGCGCCGAAAAUGUCCGGGGCUAAAGUGUAAAACCGAAGUCGUGUCAUAUGCAGCAAUGUAUAUGGGUAGGGGAGCGUUCUCAUUGGGUUGAAGCAGUACCGUAAGGAGUUGUGGACUGAUGAGAAGUGAGAAUGUCGGUAUGAGUAGCGAAAAGAAUGGUGAGAAUCCAUUCCACCGAAAGCCUAAGGGUUCCUGAGCAACGAUCGUCGUCUCAGGGUAAGUCGGGACCUAAGCCGAGGCGGAAAAGCGUAGGCGAUGGACAACAGGUUGAAAUUCCUGUACCGGUGUGAAUCGUUUGAUCGAUGGAGUGACACAGUAAGGUAGGUCAGCACGCGAUUGGAAGUGCGUGUUUAAGCAGGUAGGUUGAGCUAUAGGCAAAUCCGUAGCUCUAAAAGCUGAGAUGUGAUGACGAGUUACUAGCGAUAGUAACGAAGUGAUUGAUCCUACACUGUCGAGAAAAGCUUCUAGGUAGAGACACAUCGCCCGUACCAAAACCGACACAGGUAGGCGGGGAGAGAAUCCUAAGGUGCGCGGGAAAACCCUCGUUAAGGAACUCGGCAAAAUGCCUCCGUAACUUCGGGAAAAGGAGGACUCAUGUAGUGUGAAGUGCAGCAACGCAUGGAGCAUGAAUGAGUGGCACAAGAGAGGCGCAAGCGACUGUUUACCACAAACACAGGUGCCUGCUAAAGCGAAAGCUGAUGUAUAGGUGCUGACACCUGCCCGGUGCUGGAAGGUUAAGAGGAGGGGUUAGACUUCGGUCGAAGCUCUGAAUUGAAGCCCCAGUAAACGGCGGCCGUAACUAUAACGGUCCUAAGGUAGCGAAAUUCCUUGUCGGGUAAGUUCC
rnacentral:rRNA from 1 species